rnacentral:rRNA from 1 species
CCUACGGGGGGCAGCAGUAGGGAAUCUUCCACAAUGGGCGCAAGCCUGAUGGAGCAACGCCGCGUGGGUGAAGAAGGUCUUCGGAUCGUAAAGCUCUGUCCUCAAGGAAGAUAAUGACGGUACUUGAGGAGGAAGCCCCGGCUAACUACGUGCCAGCAGCCGCGGUAAUACGUAGGGGGCUAGCGUUAUCCGGAAUUACUGGGCGUAAAGGGUGCGUAGGUGGUUUCUUAAGUCAGAGGUGAAAGGCUACGGCUCAACCGUAGUAAGCCUUUGAAACUGGGAAACUUGAGUGCAGGAGAGGAGAG